rnacentral:rRNA from 1 species
GAUAAACGCUGGCGGCGUGCUUAACACAUGCAAGUCGAACGAAGUUUUUCUUUCGGGAGGAACUUAGUGGCGGACGGGUGAGUAGCGCGUGGGUAACCUGCCCUGUACAGGGGGACAACAGCUGGAAACGGCUGCUAAUACCGCAUAAGCCCUUAGCACUGCAUGGUGCAUAGGGAAAAGGAGCAAUCCGGUACAGGAUGGACCCGCGUCUGAUUAGCCAGUUGGCAGGGUAACGGCCUACCAAAGCGACGAUCAGUAGCCGAUCCGAGAGGAUGUACGGCCACAUUGGGACUGAGACACGGCCCAGACUCCUACGGGAGGCAGCAGUGGGGAAUAUUGCACAAUGGAGGAAACUCUGAUGCAGCGACGCCGCGUGAGUGAAGAAGUAUUUCGGUAUGUAAAGCUCUAUCAGCAGGAAAGAAAAUGACGGUACCUGACUAAGAAGCACCGGCUAAAUUCGUG